CCUACGGGUGGCAGCAGUGGGGAAUAUUGCACAAUGGGGGAAACCCUGAUGCAGCGACGCCGCGUGAGUGAAGAAGUAAUUCGUUAUGUAAAGCUCUAUCAGCAGGGAAGAAAAUGACGGUACCUGAGUAAGACUCCCCGGCUAACUACGUUCCAGCCGCCGCGGUAAUACGUAGGGGGCAAGCGUUAUCCGGAUUUACUGGGUGGAAAGGGAGCGUAGACGGCAGUGCAAGUCUGGAGUGAAAGGCGGGGGCUCAACCCCCGGACUGCUCUGGAAACUGUAAGGCUGGAGUGCAGGAGAGGUAAGUGGAAUUCCUAGUGUAGCGGUGAAAUGCGUAGAUAGUAGGAGGAACACCAGUGGCGAAGGCGGCUUACUGGACUGUAACUGACGUUGAGGCUCGAAAGCGUGGGGAGCAAACAGGAUUAGAUACCCUAGUAGUC
rnacentral:rRNA from 1 species